CUGUGAAUGGUUUCAGAACUCACAGAGUUAAAGAGUUCUGGUGACGUCUCUUUCCUGAGGCGUGGUUAGAAACACUUAAGGGAGGGGUUUGACUCCGUGUGUUUCAGUCUGACUUUCGGACGUGAUGCGAAAGGGAGAAUGUGUCAGUUCUCGCCAGGUCUGAAUUUAUGAUGUUAUUCUUCAUGAUUAAAAGGCAAGAGUAGAUAAGGACUGCCUUGUGUCUGGACUGAUUUAUUCCACACGUGCUGCACUCUGCUUCUCACCGCUGUGUUUCGCUCUGCUACCGGCAAGAGAGAGAGGCCUGAGGAGGAUUUUUGCAGGAGGCACGGAUAGCUUGCAGAGUUCCGCAACGGAAGCGUGCCGGGCUCCAUGUUCAGUCUCUGUGUACCCUCUUGUCCGGUGUAAAUAAUUCCAACAGGUUAUGGAAGCUCGCCAAAGCUUUGAAGCAUUGCAGGAACGUCCCACGUGUGGGGGAAGCCAGCAGGAAAGUUGCUGGGGUCCAGCUGGAGCUCUGGAGCUGUGUCUUUGAAGCUGGAAGGAGCUCGCUGGGGAGAAGCGAUCUGCCGGAGCCGGGAGGCGGAGACAGCUACUGCCGGGAGACGUGAGUAAGCUUAGCCCCGGGGAGGAGAUGGCAGACGAUCGUGAAUCAUUCUCAGUUCCCUUUGAGAAAUUAAAUGGACAAAAUUGGGCCGAAUGGAGCCGGAAGCUAAAGGCCUGGCUGGUAGCCAAGGGGUUGUGGGAGGCGACCCAGGGGCCCCUCUCCCACCACCUGCAGCAGGAGCAGCAGCAGCGGACAUAGCGGCUGCUCACGCGUCGCAGAGGAAAAACCAGAAAGCCCUGGGAGCUAUAGUGCUCAGUUUGGAGGGUUCCCAACUUCCUCUGGUUGAAGGGCUUGAGACUGCUCAGGAGGCCUACCAAGCCCUUGAGAGGGUGCACCACAGAACCACGGCUGGUGCAAAGAUCCACACCACCAGACGCUUAUUUGAGAUGAAGCUGCGUCCCGGUGGGAACAUCAGACAGCAUGUUACUGAGAUGCUUUCUGUUUUCAAUGAGUUGCGCCUGUUACAGGUCAACUUUUCAGAAGAGCUGAAGGUUUAUAUUUUGCUCAGCUCUCUGGACAAAAGUUAUGACAAUUUGUGUCUGUCUAUGGAAUCGAUGAGUCCACAGGAUUUGACGCUAUCGUACGUGACAGGGCGUCUUUCGGACGAACAGGAGAGGCGUGUCCGAGAAGGCAGGUCUGGCGCAGGCAGCUCCACCGGUUGCAGAGGUGGGGGGGGCAAGCCAGAUGAGAGCUGUGUUCAGGCUUUUUCCACUCGUCGAUGUUAUGUCUGUGGAUCCAACAGCCAUCUAAAACGGGCUUGUCCGCAGAAGAGCAGAGAGGCCGGGCAGGAUGUCUCCAAGGUCAACCAGCUGAGUUCUCAUGGGAACCAGUCUCGGAGAGGAGGCCAGCGUGGGAACGCGAAGGAGGGACGUGACUCAGAGAAGGGAGACUGUUAUCAUCUCGCGGCUUCUCUGGCAACUUUGAACAACAAUGCCAGCAGGGACACAACUAUGAAGUGGGUGCUGGACUCAGGAGCGAGUCAUCACCUGAUAACGCCAUCUGCUGGGGAGCUGCAGAAUUGCAGGGCUGUUUUAACUGGAAUGACUUGUAAAUUUGCUGACGGAAAAAAACGAAAUGUAUCUAAAGUGGCAAAUGUCUAUAAUUCUGUUUUGCAGGCUGAGCUGGAGUGCUUCAUUGUACCAGGGAUGAAGUGUUGCCUGUUAUCGGUUUCUGCUCUGGCGAAGCAGGGAUACAAAAUUUGUUUUGAAAAUAACACCUGUUCCAUUUUCAGAGGGGGAGGCAACAUGUCAACGUGGAGAGCAAGGACAAUCUCUUUGUUCUGGAAACACCUCUGGAGGGUGGUGGGAAUGCAGGGAAAGCACAGGCGCAGUGUGCUAGUGUUCCCAGCCAUGAUUCAUGUGUUCAUGUAUGGCACAAGAGAAUGUCUCAUGCUUGUCUGGAGGAUGUUAAGAGGCUGCCAGGCUGCACCGAAGGAUGUAAAAUCACACCAUGUGAGGGAUCCCUAGUGUGCAGGGCAUGCAGCAAGGUUCAAAGGUGCAGGUUUCCCGGGGUAAAGAGGGUAACCACAAAACCUUUUGAGUUGAUUCACACAGAUCUGUCAGGACCCAUGAGGUGUGAGAGUCUGGGUGGGGCCAAGUAUGUGCUAUCGCUGACAGAUGACCACAGCCAGGUUGGCUGGUGUUUCUCUCUCAAAUCACAGGGGGAGGCGGCGCAACUGAUCCAGGAUUGGGUUGCGGAGGUGGAACGAAGGUUUUCCACCAGGGUGCAAGGGUUCAAGAGCGACCGAGGGUCACAGUUUACUGGGUCUGCUCUGGAGGAGUUUUUCAAGGAAAAAGGAAUACGUCACCACGUGACGGGUGCAAAGUCUCCUCAAGGGAGAGGCGUGGCACAGCACAGGAGUGAAACACUGGCUGAAGCUGUCAGAGUUUUGCUGGGUGACUCUGGGCUGCCUCAGAGCUUUUGGAGUGAAGCUUGGAAAGCUGCCAACUUUGUUUUUAACAGGUCCUACAAUCACGAUGUAGGUGACACACCGUAUUUUCUGUUGCACAAGAGGAAGCCACAGGUGCAUUUCUUCCGUUCGUUUGGUUCCAAGGCUUCAGUGCCAAUACCAACAGCGCAACGGAAGAAGGAUGGUCCUAGGUACCAGGACAUGAUCUUCUGUGGGUAUGAUCCUGCAACAAAUGGGUGGAAGUUUGCAUACCCAGAGGGUGAUCAGACCACGCUGCUGGUCAGCAAGCAUGCUGAGUUCUUUGAGCAGGAUGGUUGGUCACAGCCUAGGUAUGGUUCUGAUUUUCUCUCAGACUGCUUGUCCGAUUCUGAGGGGGAGGAAAAGGAGGAAGAAAGGGAGGAAGGAGAGGCAGAGGCGGAGCCUGUUGCUGAAGACCAGGUUGCUGAUGAUGGUCAAGCACAGGGGUGGGUUUCUCCACAGGUUAAGAGGGAACCCAAGAGUGAGCCUUCAUCUCCUGUUAGCCAAGUGCAGGAAGCCCGAAGACGCAGCAAGUCAGAGGGGAGUCUUCUGAGCUUGCUGGAGACACACUUGCUGACCCCAGUGGGUCAGGAGGAGCGCCUGAGGUUGUGCUCCGGCGGUCAACUCGGACCACAAAGGGGAUUCCACCGGAGAGGUUUCAGGUCACCAGUGCGUGGGUUGGUUUCGCACAGUGUGAUUCUGGGAGUGUGGAAGGGAUUCAACAAUUGCCUGGGAUGGAUGCCAGUGGGAGGCAAAAGGCAAUGGGAGGUGAGUUGAACUCAAAGAGGUCUGUAAAUAGGGGUUCACAGUUUCCCCUCAGGAUUCGUGACGAGAGGGGGUGUGAAUGGUUUCAGAACUCACAGAGUUAAAGAGUUCUGGUGACGUCUCUUUCCUGAGGCGUGGUUAGAAACACUUAAGGGAGGGGUUUGACUCCGUGUGUUUCAGUCUGACUUUCGGACGUGAUGCGAAAGGGAGAAUGUGUCAGUUCUCGCCAGGUCUGAAUUUAUGAUGUUAUUCUUCAUGAUUAAAAGGCAAGAGUAGAUAAGGACUGCCUUGUGUCUGGACUGAUUUAUUCCACACGUGCUGCACUCUGCUUCUCACCGCUGUGUUUCGCUCUGCUACCGGCAAGAGAAAGAGGCCUGAGGAGGAUUUUUGCAGGAGGCACGGAUAGCUUGCAGAGUUCCGCAACGGAAGCGUGCCGGGCUCCAUGUUCAGUCUCUGUGUACCCUCUUGUCCGGUGUAAAUAAUUCCAACAUA
rnacentral:lncRNA from 1 species